rnacentral:misc_RNA from 1 species
GAUGAAGAACGUAGCGAAAUGCGAUAAGUAAUGUGAAUUGCAGAAUUCAGUGAAUCAUCGAAUCUUUGAACGCACAUUGCGCCCGCUAGUAUUCUGGCGGGCAUGCCUGUCCGAGCGUCAUUUCAACCCUCAAGCCCCCGGGCUUGGUGUUGGGGAUCGGCGAGCCUCCGCGCCCGCCGUCCCCUAAAUCUAGUGGCGGUCUCGCUGUAGCUUCCUCUGCGUAGUAGCACACCUCGCACUGGGAAACAGCGCGGCCACGCCGUUAAACCCCCAACUUCUGAACGUUUGACCUCGGAUCAGGUACGAAUACCCGCUGAACUUAAGCAUAUCAAUAAGCGGAGGA